rnacentral:rRNA from 1 species
CAAUAGCGUAUAUUAAAGUUGUUGCAGUUAAAAAGCUCGUAGUUGGAUUUCUGUUUUGGAUGUCCGGUCCGCUCCCUCUGGGAGUGCGUACUUAUGGAUGUUCGAGGCAUUUUUUGUGAGGUCGCUUUUCUGCCAUUAAGUUGGUGGUUUUGCGGGCUUGCAUCGUUUACUGUGAAAAAAUUAGAGUGUUUAAAGCAGGCGUUUGCUCAUUUGAAUACAUUAGCAUGGAAUAAUAAGAUACGGCCUUGGUGGUCUACUUUGUUGGUUUGCACACCAGGGUAAUGAUUAAUAGGGACAGUUGGGGGUAUUCAUAUUUCAGCGUCAGAGGUGAAAUUCUUGGAUCGCUGAAAGAUGAGCUUAGGCGAAAGCAUUUACCAAGGAUGUUUUCAUUAA